rnacentral:rRNA from 1 species
UACGUAGGGGGCAAGCGUUGUCCGGAAUCAUUGGGUGUAAAGAGCGUGUAGGCGGCCAGAUAAGUCCGCUGUGAAAUCUCGAGGCUCAACUUCGAGCUGUCGGUGGAAACUGUCUGGCUAGAGUCCGGAAGAGGAGAAUGGAAUUCCUGGUGUAGCGGUGAAAUGCGCAGAUAUCAGGAAGAACACCCGUGGCGAAGGCGGUUCUCUGGGACGGUACUGACGCUGAGACGCGAAAGCGUGGGGAGCGAACAGG